GAUGAACGCUAGCGGAAGGCAUAAUACAUGCAAGUCGAACGGAUGUAGCAAUACAUUAGUGGCGCACGGGUGCGUAACGCGUAUGCAACCUACCUUCAUCAGGGGGAUAACUACCCGAAAGGGUGGCUAACACCGCAUAAUACUAUUGAGUGGCAUCACUUGAUAUUUAAAUCUGAGGAGGAUGAAGAUGGGCAUGCGUCUGAUUAGCUAGUUGGUGUGGUAACGGCGCACCAAGGCGACGAUCAGUAGGGGAACUGAGAGGUUGGUCCCCCACACUGGCACUGGGAUACGGGCCAGACUCCUACGGGAGGCAGCAGUAGGGAAUAUUGGUCAAUGGUGGGAACACUGAACCAGCCAUUCCGCGUGCAGGAAGAAGGGUCUCUGACUUGUAAACUGCUUUAGCAAGGGUAGAAAAAGCUCAUGCGUGAGAAAUUGACGGUACCUUGAGAAUAAGCACCAGCUAACUACGUGCCAGCCGCCGCCGUAAGAC
rnacentral:rRNA from 1 species